rnacentral:rRNA from 1 species
UACGUAGGGUGCGAGCGUUGUCCGGAAUUAUUGGGCGUAAAGAGCUCGUAGGCGGUUUGUCGCGUCGGCCGUGAAAACUUGGGGCUUAACCCCAAGCUUGCGGUCGAUACGGGCAGACUUGAGUUCGGCAGGGGAGACUGGAAUUCCUGGUGUAGCGGUGAAAUGCGCAGAUAUCAGGAGGAACACCGGUGGCGAAGGCGGGUCUCUGGGCCGACACUGACGCUGAGGAGCGAAAGCGUGGGGAGCGAAC